rnacentral:rRNA from 1 species
GACGAACGCUGGCGGCGUGCCUAAUACAUGCAAGUAGAACGCUGAAGGACGAGCUUGCUUCUCUGGAUGAGUUGCGAACGGGUGAGUAACGCGUAGGUAACCUGCCUGGUAGCGGGGGAUAACUAUUGGAAACGAUAGCUAAUACCGCAUAAUAGCAGUUGUUGCAUGACAACUGUUUGAAAGGUGCAAUUGCACCACUACCAGAUGGACCUGCGUUGUAUUAGCUAGUUGGUGGGGUAACGGCUCACCAAGGCGACGAUACAUAGCCGACCUGAGAGGGUGAUCGGCCACACUGGGACUGAGACACGGCCCAGACUCCUACGGGAGGCAGCAGUAGGGAAUCUUCGGCAAUGGACGGAAGUCUGACCGAGCAACGCCGCGUGAGUGAAGAAGGUUUUCGGAUCGUAAGGCUCUGUUGUAAGAGAAGAACGAGUGUGAGAGUGGAAAGUUCACACUGUGACGGUAUCUUACCAGAAAGGGACGGCUAACUACGUG